GCCGUGAGCUGUCAGCCCAGAGCCCCAUGCGGGGCUCGAACCCGCUGACCUCGAGAUCAUGACCUGGGCUGAAGUUGGACGCCCAACCAACUGAGCCAGCCAAGUGCCCCCUUCCAGCCCCAGUUUUAGGGUGAGACCUGGAGGGCGGCAGGGAAGAGGAUGGUGGCAAAGGAACGACGGGAGGACAAGCACCCACAAAGGGAGAGGGAAAGGUUCUGUGAGGCAGCAGAGUGAGGUGUAGUGGCCUCUGAUGUCACACGUAUGAGCAUUCAAAUCCCGAGCCUAGCACCUGCCAGCGGUGUGAUCUUCAGCAAGUGGACGAGUUUUCUACUAGGCCUCAGUGUCCACAUCUGUCAAAUGGGAACCCUAGAAAUAGUACCCACAUUAUAUGCAUGCGUGGGGUGGCGGUGGUGGUAUUAUGAGAAGAAACGUCAGAGCUGGCCAAAACAGUCCUUCACCUCAGUUUCGAUCCUGUCUUCCAUCCGUGCCGGGGAAGGCUUUGGCCGAGGGAUGGACGCGCACACGUGCAGCAUUUUCCUGCAGGGUCCACCCCACCCGUGGGGAGUUCGCACGAGCACGAAUGUUUUCUGCGCGCCUUUCUUUACGAGCACCCCCUCGGCUGCUCUUCACACAGGCCCGACGCGUGGCUGCGUUCUGCACGCCUGCUUUGCAGAUGAGGAGGCAGAGCUGGAAGGAGCACUUGCGGAGGCACGUCCGCGCCACGAGCCCCGCCUCACCUCACCCCUGCUCAGGGCAGAGGGCACCGGGAACAGCACCUCCUCCCCGCAGGCCGGGAGCUGUCUGUGCCUGGCUCUGACCUCCCACCAGACCGAGAGCCCCCCGGAGGGCAGGCACCGGGGCCCUUCCAGCCAAUCCGGCACAGGGCUCCGAGCAGACAAGGGUUCAUCGAGUAUGUGAGUGAACGAAUGAGUGAAUGAAUGAGUGAAUGAAUGAGAGAAAGCCAGGACUCCUGUCCUUGAGGGUCUUGUGUCCUGUUGGGCAAGCCUGAAGAAGGUUCUGCACCCCGAGAGAGUGUCCCCUUUACGCACUCUCUGUACAAGGAGGAAGCUGGAGGCCCAGGGAAGGCAGCCUUGGCCUUGACCAAAGCCACACGGUUAGAGCAGGUCUCCCAGCUCCCCACCGACUGGAGUCUUCUCCUCAGGGCCUCAUUUGUCACGGUUUUGCCAUAAUUACGGUUAUUAUUACAUGCAGCCUUGCCCUUUAGGGAGUGUCUUUGAGGGGCUGACUUGUGCCAACACAGGAAAAUACCAGCCACUCGUGGGUCCACCCCAGUUGGCCCUGGAAACAGGGCCCUCAUCCACCCCCUUUAGCCCCACCACAAGCCCCACGACAAGCCGCCGCGCGCUCCCGGGCGUGGACGAGCACACUGAGGCUCGGGGGCCCGCGCUUCCUCGCCUGAGGGUACACGGGCCAGAAAAAUGGCCAAGAGUUUGGGAGACGGGAAAGUUCUGGAGCUGGAUGGUGGUGAUGGUUGCGUAACACUGAACUGUACACUCGGAAAGGAUUAAAACGGUAAAUUUUGUAUUAGGUCUUUGACCACAGUUUGAAAAAAAGAUGGCCAAGGGUGGCCUUCGCACCUGGGACCGUGAGUCACCACACUUGAUAGUCUGUCCCUUCUUCUGCACCGUGGGGAGGUUUCACCCACUCAGGGCCACCCUCCUUUAUAAAGAGCAAACAUAUUCCUGGCUCCUGCUCCCUGCCGGCCCCUGGCUGGGUGCUGGAACGCGAGGACAGGCAGCGUAGGCCUGGCCCUCCGGGAGCUCAGCACAGAGGCCACUGCAGGACACGGAGCGGCCCAGCCACGGCCAGGAUGGGGGCCGUCACGCACCUGCAGGCCUCCAGGCUGGCCUGAAAACAGUCAAUGCGCUGAUCGAGGAUGCAGAAGUCCAACACGGCAGCACACAACCACGGCAGGGACAAGCUCAAGACCCCAAGGCAUGCUGUGAGAAAGGACGGUGGGGGGCCCCCAUCAGUGCAAGAUAAGGGGCGUGAGCAUGAGCGCGGGGCUCCUGCGAAUCUGAAUUUGAGCCCAGUUUUGCACUCACCUGGGACAGGAGGUCCCUUCCUCUCGGAGCUCCAGUUUCCUCGGGGCUUCCCAUGGCCCUCCUGUCCCAUCAUGGCGGGCCUGUACCCACACACGUCUCCAGAUGCUCCAGCUCAGCGGGACACCAUUGGCGACUGGGUGCUUCUGGGUCCUCUGCUCCCUGCUCUGGUGAGUAAGCCUCAGGAGGGGAGGCACUUGAACUCUUUGCCAUACUAUAUCCCCCAGGUAUGGCACAUGUAAAGGCUUGAGUAAAUAAAGAAUAAGUGACCCAGGGAUAUAUCUUUGGCACCUAGAGCCAACACUGUCGGUGCAGGACCAUGCCACCCCCAGAGCCAGAGCCCUGCUGGCUCUGGAACAAUAGUCCCUGUUCCAAAGGAGUGCCCAGGACAAUGUUUGCACCUGCGCUCCACACGUGGGGAAGAAAGUAGAGGCUUGGAGGAGGUUUAGAAAGUGGCAGGAGGCAGAGGGUUCUGGAAACCAUAACCAGGAAAGAUGAUUGGGGGAGGGGCGGCAGGGUGUUAUCCUGGAGAAGGUCCAGAAGGGCCUGCUCAUUCAUGCAUACGUUCAUUUGUUUGUUCAACACACUUUCCUGAGCAGUCUUCCCAUGUCCCACUCUGCUGGACACAGGGGCGCAGAGAUGAAUCCAACCUGUCCCUGGAGGACUCACAGUGAGUGGGGGCAGCUGGGCCAGACAAGAGCACUUCCCACACUGCUGUGAACAGAUUCUGGACCAGAGCCGGGAAUCCCAGACCGAGAUGUCUGGUGACGGGCUACAGGGCUUGGGCAGGGGGCACGGUGAUGCCCUUAAUUCUGAUCAGCAGCUGAGUGGAUGGGGGUAGCCCUGGAGAUGGGGAACAUGAGGAACACCUGGAGGAAGACUUGCGUGGGACAGGUAGGGUCUGAGGUAGGGUCUGAGGUGCUGGUCAGACACCCAGGGAGACUUCUCAAAGAAGCAGAGAGAUGAGUCAGAUGAUCCACAGAGGACUCCAGGCCGGAGACAGAGCCUUGGGGACCGCCAGGGUAGAGAUGGCUCUGAUGCCACCCGAGGAGCUGAGCGGAUGGAGCACGUGUGGGGAGAAGACUUGAGGAAGCCCUUCCCCCAAGGGAGCCCAGGCCACUUCCUCCCUCAGCUUGGAGCCGGGUGGUGGAUAAGGGCAGGCCUCAGGCCUUGAGGCAGUGGGGCCUUCCUGCUCAACAGAGCAGCCUGUGAAGGAAAUAACUUUAUUAGCUCGUGGAUGAAAAACAGGAAAUGUAUGCUGUAACUCGGGCACCGGCCGAGUUUCACUCACAUCUUGUUUCUAGGAAACAGUCAUGUGGCCUCAGACUGGGUUGGGGUUUUCUCAGCCAAGUCUUUCUGGAAACGCCAUGCUUUUCUCAGGAAAACCAUGUCCUGUAGGCUCCCCAGACUAAGGGGUAAAGAGAGAAAAGGCCCACUUCCCUUCCCAGCCCCCUACCCCCAGAGACCCUGGGUUGACGAUGACUGCUUUCUUGAGCACCUACUAUGUGCUAUAUGGUCAAAACAAAUUGAAUACAUCAGUAAUCACAACAACAAGAUGAAGAUUGUCAAAAUAAGUUU